rnacentral:rRNA from 1 species
UACGUAGGGUGCAAGCGUUGUCCGGAAUUAUUGGGCGUAAAGAGCUCGUAGGCGGUCUGUCGCGUCGGGAUGUGAAAAUCCAGGGCUCAACCCUGGACCUGCAUUCGAUACGGGCAGACUAGAGUUCGGUAGGGGAGACUGGAAUUCCUGGUGUAGCGGUGAAAUGCGUAGAUAUUCGCAAGAACACCAGUGGCGAAGGCGGCUCACUGGCCCGAUACUGACGCUGAGGCACGAAAGCGUGGGGAGCAAACAGG